UCCUACGGGAGGCUGCAGUGGGGAAUAUUGCACAAUGGGGGAAACCCUGAUGCAGCAACGCCGCGUGGAGGAUGACACAUUUCGGUGCGUAAACUCCUUUUAUAAGAGAAGAUAAUGACGGUAUCUUAUGAAUAAGCACCGGCUAACUCCGUGCCAGCAGCCGCGGUAAUACGGAGGGUGCAAGCGUUACUCGGAAUCACUGGGCGUAAAGAGCGUGUAGGCGGAUUUGUAAGUUGGGAGUGAAAGCCUAUGGCUCAACCAUAGAACUGCUUCCAAAACUGCAUGUCUAGAGUGUGGGAGAGGUGGAUGGAAUUUCUGGUGUAGGGGUAAAAUCCGUAGAGAUCAGAAGGAAUACCGAUUGCGAAGGCGAUCUACUGGAACAUAACUGACGCUGAGACGCGAAAGCGUGGGGAGCAAACAGGAUUAGAUACCCUAGUAGUC
rnacentral:rRNA from 1 species